GCCUUCGUAGUAUAGUGGUCAGAACGCUUGGCACAUAUUCGAGAAGUCCGUGGUUCGAGUCCCGGUGAGGGCA
rnacentral:tRNA from 1 species